rnacentral:miRNA from 1 species
AGCGACUAUCUCAGGGCGCGCU